AUCCAGGUGGGCCCAAUGUAAUCACAAGGGUAUUUAAAAGUGAAAGAGGGAAUAGGAAGAGAGAACCAGAAAGAUGGCAGCAUGAGAAGGACUUGGCUUGAUAUUGCUGGCUUGAAGACAGAGAAAGGGGACCACGAACCAAGGAAAGCAAGUGACAUCUAGGGGAUAGAAAACCAAGGAAACAGGUUCUCCCCUGGAACCUGCAGGAAGUCAUGGACUCUGCCAAAACCUUGAUCUUAGCCUGCUGAAGAUCCGUGUCAGACUUUGCAUCUAUGGAACUGUGUGAUUUUACUUUUCCAACCUACUUUGCGUAUGUCUUUUAUUUUAACUGACUUAAAUCCUUCCUGAAAAAAAGAUAACGUUCGGAAAUAAAGGAACAAACAGAAGAGCGCAGCGUGCUGUCCUUAGAUUCAUGUCUGGAAGACCACGUUGUAUAAACGUAAAACAUCUCUGUAAGUUGAAAAUCAGGACACAGACUGGCUGGGUUAUCUGCUGUGGUGCUCAGAUGGCUGAAAUCAAGGUGUCGACCCAGCUGACUUCUUACCUGUAGGCUCUGGAGAAAAAUUCAUUUCCAAGCUCAUUCUUGCUGUUGGCAGAAUUCAGUUCUUUGCGGAUGUAGGAUUGAGGUCCCCAUUUCCUUGCUGGCUGUCAGCCAGGGUCCACUCUCAGCUCCUAGAGGCUGCCUGCAGUUUACACCGUGGAUGUUUUCUUUCAGCCAGUAGGAACAUGCUUUUCUGACUUUCAAUUACAGCUCUCUGCAACCAGCGAAAAAAAUCUCUUUGGGUUGAAAGGACCCAAUUCAGCGGCUAUUCUGGACGUGUGUUGUCCAUGGCUUGCCUUCCCCAUGCUCUCAGUCACCGAAGGCUCAUGCUGCUGUCCUGGAUCCCCAUCUCCAAACCUGCAACUCAUUCUCCUUGUCUCCAACUACCUGUCUGUUUCCUCAAGGUCCUGCUCCUUGAGCUCAUCGGAUAAAAGAAUCUGCUUGGUCCACCAGUGGACUGAGAGUAGAAGAAAGUCCAAAUAGAACUUUUUAUACUCCCUGCAGGGAUACAUUUUCUUAUUUUAAAUGUUUACUUAUUUUAAGGUCUUCUUUGGUGGUUGGACUAUAGUAGGCCCUCUGAGAAGAUGCUUUAUUACCACAAGGGAGAUUCUUUUUUUUGUUACAAGUAAUAUGUUGAAAACCUCAUAUUUUAAAAAAGCAUUUUGAAAGUGUUCCAAGUGAAACAGAUCAUGAACAUUCUGCUCCCCAAGGUAGAAGCUGUAAAUAAAGACGAAACUUUCUUAUGCUGAAAAUGACACUGAUUAAAUAUAGACCUAGGGAGUUUAUGUGAAUAUUUUGGCCCAGUUACAAGCGUUUUUCUUCGCCCUAGCAUAGGUCCAGCUAUUAAUUUUCCCUGUAGGCUGACAGUCUUAUUGUUGCACAGCGUUAACAAUACAAAAUGAAAAAUAUGCUACUGUGAGAGUUUACUACUGUGGAGUCAGUGGUCCUAUAUUUCAAACUUGAUUUCUGAUAUGAGUUUACUAUAUUUCCUUAUAUAUUUCUGACUAAAGAAGACCACAUUGAAUUCAAAUUGACUUCUCUAAAACCUAUAGCUCUUUGGUGGAAAUUUGCUAUAAUUAAUACCGCAUCUUACUGUAAAAAUGUUUUCUUCUAUGGCAUAGAUUAAGAGAAUAAGUAACUUUCUUCUCCAUACAGUCAAUACCUAUAAAGUGCCAAUGCUAUACUGUAGCUCUAGAUAUGCUAUGCUAACCUCUAGAUAUAUCCUUGGCCUCUGUGAUCAUUAAGUUCUUACAAUCAAUUUUAGGUCAGUGAGUCACAAAAUGUCUUACCUUUUCUUUAGUUCCUAGACAGUGGAGCAGAAUCUCAAGCAAUACACACAUCCCCAAUAUCCCCAUAAGAACAUUAACAGAUCACCUUUCUUUCUUUGGCUUACCAUAGGGUGUGUAAUCUUCAGAACAGUUCAGCUCAGGAUGUAGGUCCUAAAGGAAAAGCUUUCUAGGCAUGUUGGCAUUUCUACUCCUUAGGUUCCUCUUGUAAAUCUCAGCAUUUCCUCCUCUACACGUCUCCAAGAAAGCAGUUGCUUUUUGUCUGUCCUUAAAUCUUAAUAAAUAUCUUAGUUUACAACUCCUGCAAUUUUACUAUUUCAAUUACUGGGUUAAUGAUUUCUGCUGAAAACUUAUAACAAAUAAAGUAAGAAGAAAUAUUAUAU
ensembl:lncRNA